rnacentral:rRNA from 1 species
GAUGAACGCUAGCUACAGGCCUAACACAUGCAAGUCGAGGGGUAACAAGAGAAAAGCUUGCUUUUCUUGUUGACGACCGGCGCACGGGUGAGUAACGCGUAUCCAACCUGCCUAUAACUAGGGAAUAACCUUGCGAAAGUAAGACUAAUACCCUAUGAUUUCCUUUGAUGACAUCAGAUUAGGUAUAAAGAUUUAUCGGUUAUAGAUGGGGAUGCGUCUGAUUAGCUUGUUGGCGGGGUAACGGCCCACCAAGGCAACGAUCAGCAGGGGUUCUGAGAGGAAGGUCCCCCACAUUGGAACUGAGACACGGUCCAAACUCCUACGGGAGGCAGCAGUGAGGAAUAUUGGUCAAUGGGCGGAAGCCUGAACCAGCCAAGUAGCGUGCAGGAUGACGGCCCUAUGGGUUGUAAACUGCUUUUAUACAGGAAUAAAGUUAGCCACGUGUGGUUAUUUGUAGGUACUGUAUGAAUAAGGACCGGCUAAUUCCGUGCCAGCCGCCGCAGUAA